rfam:Triticum aestivum genome assembly, contig: Triticum_aestivum_CS42_TGACv1_scaffold_093707_2AL
AUCAUACUCCCUUCGUCUCAAAAUUCUUGUUUUAGAUUCGUCUAGAUACGGAUGUAUCUAAUACUAAAACGUGACUUGAUACAUCCGUAUUUAGAAAAAUCUGAGACAAGAAUUUUGGGACGGAGGGAGUACUAU